UCCCUGGUGGCUCAGAUGGUAAAGCAUCUGUCUAUAAUGCGGGAGACCCGGGUUCAAUCCCUGGGUUGGGAA
rfam:Ovis aries breed Texel chromosome 6, whole genome shotgun sequence.